UUCAAAUCGAGCAACCACAGCAAAGCUAGUUUUCUCGAUAAUAAAAAAGCAAAAACACGGCCUUUUAUCGUGUUGCUAGCGACACAGGCGUAUUUUAAAAAAAUGUGAAACACAAACAGAGUCAAACGUGUCAACAUGCGAAACAGUACAGGAAGGAGUUGGUGGCCUCGAGGGGGGAACUAUUUCCGGGGUACCAAAGUCAGGGUCCAGCCUGGGAUAAAAGCAUUGUGCUUAAAGUGAAGUAGCCUACACAGCCACUGGUCUCCAUCUCUCCUCCAUCCCGUCCCCUUCUCUCCUCUCCAUAUUCCUCUUCAUACCCACUCUACCCCUCUCUUCCUCUCCCCUCAACCACGCUCCCUCUCCCUAACCCCACACCUCUCUCCCCCUUUUCCUUCACCCACCCCACCCCGACCCCCCCAUAGGUACGCCUCCAUCCCCUCUUGGCAGCUCCAUCUCCUCCUCACCUCCCCCCGUCGUCUCUCCUCCCUCUCCCUGGUUGGUUUCCACAGCUGUGGUGAGUGAGGGGCAGAUGACCGGAGAAUUGGCCCCUGGGAGAGCGCUGAGCCAUCCUGGUGCUAUUAGGCUCGUGGCUAAUAAUAGGUGUUUCAGACCAGGGGAAGAUCAAUCAGGGGGAAUCAUGGGGAAUGUUCGGAGCAGCGCUUUUUACACAUCGGCCCAGAUGGAUGAAAUUACACUUGUCAGUUUUUAGUUGCAUUACUCCCAAAUUGGUUGUCUACUCUUUUUUUUUCUCCCUCUCUCCCUCCCUCCGUCCCUCCCUCUCUUCUCUCCUUUCUCUCUCUUUGCCCUCAUUCAUGUGUCAGUGGCCUGCUAAAGGGAUUCAGCGGUGAAAUCCCUGUCAUUUUUGUCUUUUCCCUGUUUAGCCCUCAGCCAGCAACUCUGUUGCCUGCACAUGCACUUAGAAGGAAUCAGUUCAGGAUCUGGUCUUAUGGCUCGGGCAAUUUUCAUGUUAUAGUGUGCAAGUGACUUCUGUAUGUGCUCUGCAUGUUUAAUAAAACAAUGUGAUUCAUUCUCAAACACUUGAAACAGUCAAAAUGAUUAGUCGAUAAACAGAAAAAUACUGUUAUAAUUUAUUAAUUUAUUUGAUAGAUUUUUCAAGCCAAGCUUUUAUCUGUUUCAUACCACUGUAAGUUUAAUAACGUGGGGUUUUUAGACUGUUGGCCAGACAAUAAAAGACAUUUGAAGAUCUAAGCUGGGCUCUGGAAAAGUGUAACACACAUUUGUUCAUAGAUUAAAUGAUGAAAAAACAAUCCAUCGUAGUCCUAGUUUUGAUUGUGAAACAAAGGCUCAGAAUCACAAUGCAUUUCUAAUAUUAAGUUGUUUGCACAAAUUUGUUCUCACACCAAAUUGAUAAAUGUGUAAAGUAAUGAUUGUAUUGUUAUUGCAGAAAGAGACUGUUUAAUUGUAAUGUAAUUAAACCUGUCAGGUGUAAAUGAAACCGUUGGGCUGUCUCUCACGGUUUGAAACUGAAUAAAA